rnacentral:misc_RNA from 1 species
GAUGAAGAACGCAGCGAAAUGCGAUAAGUAAUGUGAAUUGCAGAAUUCAGUGAAUCAUCGAAUCUUUGAACGCACAUUGCGCCCCUUGGUAUUCCGAGGGGCAUGCCUGUUCGAGCGUCAUUAUAACCCUCAAGCUCAGCUUGGUGUUGGGGCCUGCUGCACUGGCAGCCCUUAAAAUCAGUGGCGGCGCCAUCUGGCUCUAAGCGUAGUAAUUCUUCUCGCUAUGGAGUCCUGGUGGAUGCUUGCCAUCAACCCCCAAUUUUUCUAUGGUUGACCUCGGAUCAGGUAGGGAUACCCGCUGAACUUAAGCAUAUCAAAAGCGGAGGA